CCUACGGGUGGCAGCAGUGAGGAAUAUUGGUCAAUGGUCGCGAGCCUGAACCAGCCAAGUAGCGUGAAGGAGGACUGCACUAAGGGUUGUAAACUUCUUUUGUCAAGGAAUAAAGUCAGGCACGUGUCCCUUUUUGUGUGUACUUGAUGAAUAAGGAUCGGCUAACUCCGUGCCAGCAGCCGCGGUAAUACGGAGGAUCCGAGCGUUAUCCGGAUUUAUUGGGUUUAAAGGGAGCGUAGAUGGGUUGUUAAGUCAGUUGUGAAAGUUUGCGGCUCAACCGUAAAAGUGCAAUUGAUACUGGCAGCCUUGAGUACAGUGGAGGUAGGCGGAAUGCGUGGUGUAGCGGUGAAAUGCUUAGAUAUCACGAAGAACCCCGAUUGCGAAGGCAGCUUACUAAACUGCCACUGACAUUGAUGCUCGAAAGUGCGGGUAUCAAACAGGAUUAGAUACCCGUGUAGUC
rnacentral:rRNA from 1 species